AGCGAACUCGCGAGAGCAAGCGGACCUCAUAAAGUGCGUCGUAGUCCGGAUUGGAGUCUGCAACUCGACUCCAUGAAGUCGGAAUCGCUAGUAAUCGUGGAUCAGAAUGCCACGGUGAAUACGUUCCCGGGCCUUGUACACACCGCCCGUCACACCAUGGGAGUGGGUUGCAAAAGAAGUAGGUAGCUUAACCUUCGGGAGGGCGCUUACCACUUUGUGAUUCAUGACUGGGGUGAAGUCGUAACAAGGUAACCGUAGGGGAACCUGCGGUUGGAUCACCUCCUUACCUUAAAGA
rnacentral:rRNA from 1 species